ensembl:lncRNA
CACUUCAUUCAGGAGCACCUCUCUCAGCACUUAGCAAUACACAGAGUCUCCGUUUUGCCAAAGGUUUCGACUACCGUGCAGAGCUCCAGCAUGUGCAGAACUAAUCAAAUGGUCCUCAACUGCUCACGUAGUUUUAUUCUUUUUUUUGCACAGGCGAAGACGUUUUGUACCUUUCCCAAGGCUAGUCAAAAUAGGGCCUGUGACUCAAAGGGAGAUAAAGGUGUAUCUUCUGUCAGGCAGCAGGAAGAAUACCCUCCUCACAGAACCCGGGUCCUUUCAGGCUCUCUCCCGUAUGCAUUGUGGCAGUGUUGGCUCAGAUUGAGUGAACACUUUUUCCUUUUUUUUUUUUGCGAGAGAGACUUCUCUUUGAGAGAAAAAGGACCCAAUGCUGUCCAUAAGAACUACUCCAUGUUUGUGUCCACUCCAUGGAGCGAUGGAGCCAGCGGAUUGGUGGUGGACGAGAGGGAGAUAGCAAUCGGAGCACUUUCUGGAUCCGCUUGGGUCAGGUGCAUGAGGCCAGGAUAAGGUCAGAGGUCACCGGAGUCGAAGUUACAAGAGCAUGGGAACGAAAAAAAAAAAAAGAACCCUACCAAACAACCCCACCACCAUUCCCCAAUCUCACAGAGUCUGCCUGCCCACUGCCUCUCCUAUGUGUGUGUGUGUGUGUGGGUAGGGGGACGUAUAUAUUUUCUAGGUCUGUGUGGUUUAUACUUGUAUAUGUGCACACAUAUCGAGUGCGUAACUGCCACCCUGUCUGUCUAAGCUCCUUUAGCAGCUACAUGACUUUGUACACAUUAGGUUACAUUCUUUUUUCUCAUAUAAGAGACUCACAAUAGUUAACCCUUUUGUUCUUUUGUUUAUUUUGGGUGUUUAUUUAUAGAUGCUGUAUUUUACAUAUUAAUGUCUUAUUCUGAUUUUAAUUCUGUUAUUUUUAUUUUAUGGAAGGGACUACGUGAGGUCAGGUUACACUUUUAAAGACUGCAGGCAGUAUAUGGCUUAUACUUGUGAUCCAUGUCUGUUUUAUGAAUUCAAAUAAUAAUAAUUAUAUUGAUAGUGUCAUGUAUAUUCUAUUUUAAAUGAGCUGGAUGAGUAACACAGUGUUCAGUGUUGAUACUUAUAUCAUCGUAGGUGUGUGCAUUAUUAUGUUGUAACUGCUCCCUGUCAUUUAAACUUUCAGUUUUUAUUUGUUUUUGUUUUCCUUUUUUGUCUUUCGGUAGAAGUAUACCUGUAAGAGGGCUGCGAGUGUUUGUUAGAGUUCCCUCACUCGGCUGGAGGCAAAGCCGCUCACCUGGCCCGGCGGUUCAGAGGAUUUAGCCCCGUGCUAUGCCAGAGAACUAAAGAACAAGUACACGGCGAAGAACCCAGGCUUGGAACCGUUCAAGGGCUCAAUGGACAGAGUUAUCCCGAGUGGUUCUUUAGCUUUGGCUUUGACUCCUUAAUGUUGGGUGAGAAUUUUGUUGAUUCUUUGGCCUCUGGGUUGUGUCACGACUGUGCCCUUGAUUUCAGUAUGAUUAGAUCUGUGAGAGGAUCUCGCCCGAUACUGGUGCUGAUUUUUUUCUUUUCUUUUUGAAUCGCUGUCUGGUUGCUUCCGUGAAGGACGGAAGAAGCUGAGAGUCUUUCAGGCACUAGCUCACCACAAAACGUAUCACGCCAAUUACAAGCUCACAUGCAAUACACUAGUAAGAAGCACUUAAGUGGUUACUGAAAGUUUUCGAUAAAUGUAUGCUUGUUUUUAUUAUCACUUAGAGCUGACUACAUUGGUUAUUGCUUUGAAUUUAACUACUCAUUGCUAAUUUGAAAGUCAGUUUUUUUAUUUUUUAUUUAACCUUCAAGGUUAUAUUCUCUGCAUAAUUAUGUAAUAAUUAUGUAGUGGUACAUGAAUUGCAUAAGAAUGCAAAAAUGAAGUACAAUACUGACGAUGUAAGUUUAGAUGUAACACGUCCUAAUAUAUUGCCUUAACACCUGCGGAACAAAAAUGAAGCACAGAAGUCCCCAACUGAAACACUUAAAAGGUCAAAGGUAAUUUUAAACUGAUGUUAUUGUCCCACAACGGUGCAUGUAUGUCAAAAUAAAAAAACAUCCCUGUCAGCAAACAUACAGCUUUACACUGCUUCAUAAGCUAGAUUUUGAGGGCUGCUUUGAAAGAACAUUGUGUGACACGUGCCCUGCAAAACAAUGUUUUUAGUAAUGUGAACAAACAGCCAUUGAAGGAUGCGUUUGAGUCGCACUCGAAGAUGCCUUACACAUUUGUCCAGCCCCUUACUGCACGGUUGAAAACCUAUGUCUUCCACAUGGCAAAGCCAGGCAUUGAUACAGUGCACAGCACUCCCGAGUCACAUCAUCUCUCCAUCGCCAUCAUGAUUCCUUAAAGCUACUGAAAAGUCUCACACACAACUCCAAAGCACAGAGAGAUCUCAAACACAGUUAAGCUUUUUAGACACAAUUCUAGUCUUACGCAAGAUUUAAAAAACAACAUGGGAGCAGUUGUGACUGGGGGCUUUGGUUUAUGGAUCUAUAAGAACAUUUUUCAUAGAGCCCAAAUAGCUGUUUCCAGUGGAAUUUGGCAUCAACACUACUGUGAGGUUUCUUACGAUGCUCAUAAAAAGCAGUGAGUUGGUAGUUGGACCUGUAAACCAAGGAUGGUAUAGCCACAACUGCAACAGGAUACCUCUAUACUUCUCAUUAAAAAAACAGCUAAUGUUCAUGUCUGUUGCCGUCAGUCAUCUUAAAGUGAGUGCGCACACUAAAGGAUUGAUGAACCUGAAAUGGAAGGAGUUGGGAUUUCAUGUCAGUUUCCAUCUAGUGUAAAGUUUGUGUUCUAUAAGAAAAAGUUACUGGCCCAUUGAACGGGUAUCAUUAAAACUCCCAGUUGACUGUAAAAGGUAAAGUUACAAUGUAAGGCAUAACAUCACCCAAUUCAGCUUCAUUUAGCGCUAACACCUCUGCCCUGAUCUCCUAAUAGAUCAGUUGUUUGGUAAUGCUGUGGGGCACAUGAUACUAUUUUUCUCUCGCAUACACUGCCCUUGCUGAAGUGAUAGUGAACAUUUUAACCUGAUAACAAAAUGGUGCUUACAGGAACAAAAUUGCAGAGUUCAUGAAAUUCAGUCAAGUCUAUUUACUCUUUAAUUCUUAAAACUUGACCAGAAUUGUGGCCUAUCUGGCUGAAUUCCGAAGGUUUAAGUUUUAACAGGAAAUGCAUUCAAGAAGUGGACCAACUUUUGGAUACUGACGCAGAAAAUGCAUCUACUUGACAAGUCUGACAAAGACAUAAUCUAUCUACAUACAUCUGUAACAGACCCGUUGAAAUAUAGGUUGCAGUUUCUGCCAUGCCUCUCCCUCAGAACUUUUUUUUUCUCAGUUUGUAUCAGGCAGCCACAUGUCCUACCCUCUCCUCACCCUGUCUCUGUCACAUAGCUCAGUCAUCUCUGCUGGUGUGUGUGUGUGUGUGUGUGAAUGUGUGUGCCAAUCCAUGGUUGCAGCCGGGGUGUGUUGGAGUGUGAUGGCGCUCGUUGACAUAAUGGUGGGGGCCAGCAGGCUGGUACACAGAGCCCGCGCCGCACCAAAAACACGUCACCUCGUCACCUCCAUACUGACAUCUCUCUUAGUUUGUUUUCAUUUGAUUUGUUUUUCUUUUGUGCGUUUUUCUGUAUAUUACGUGCAGCAUUUUAAAACCAAGGCAAAGCAUAAUUUCAACAUUGGUGCCAGUUCUGCCAGUUGGCGUAAGUAUUUUCCGCUGCAUUCAACCCAUUUGGUCUUUGUUCAUUUUGUUCCAUCGUGUGAUCUCUUUUUUGUCUUUUAUUUUAUUUUAUUUUGUUAUUUAGCCCACAGCUAAACAUCCUUCUUGUAGAUGCAUUGCAUACUCACUGACGGGUAGUGAGCUGUGAAGCACGGCAUGGCUUUGGACUAGUAAACACCCAAAAGAACACUGGUUGACAAGAAGAGUACUGCAUACAUUGUUUGUGCAGGUUUUCCAACUGCUUGCCUCGAGUUCUGACUGGUUUCAUCAUCUUCAAAUGGAGCAAAACAAUGUCCACUCCUCUCACUUGUUCAGGUAGACCAUGUACAAUAUUUGCAAAAACCAAUGUCUUUUGUUUUGGUCAAAUUUCAGGGGGUUAUCCUUUGCAAAUAUUUUUCUAUAGAACUAAAGUAGAUUUCUAUAGAUACUAUGGAGGAUUUCAUAUUAAAUUGUACAGAAAAACCUAUAACCUUGUAUCCUUUCUUAACAUCAGUAAACAUCAGUAAGCAUUAUCAUUUUGUGUUAUAAAUAUAAGUAGUGGUAGAUUUUGUAGUGAAUUUUGUCCAUAAGAAGACCUCAAAGACCUCACUUUCCUUAAAUCUUAAAAGGUGAACUCACAAGACAUUAUUUGAAUAUGCAGUUUGGUAUAGAGAGAUUUCACUGUAUGCAUUGACCCUUCUUAAUUAAUUAACAUUUGUUCACCAUUUGCCAGCACUACCUGCGAUCUCUUCACAACAUUCAUGGAUUUCAUGUAACUCCUUAUUCACCUUGAUUCGUUGGGACACUGUUGUAGACUGUUACAUUCAGUAAUUUUUUUUUAACACAAAUAAUGAUGUGUGUGUGUGUGUGUGUGUGUGUGUGUGUGUGUGUGUGAGAUUAUCCAAAAUGUGGAGGCUGAACACUUGAACAUACAAAUACCUGUCCUUUUUUGUGUUUGUGUAAGUGAUACCUGUAGCCAAACACCAUAGAUGUAAACAUUAAGAUCAGCUUUUGUCUCUCCGAUCUGUAGCUCCCUGUUGAUUCAUGUCACUACACUGAUUGCAUUUUUGCCAUUACAUAAUCCCAGUCUGAGGCGUUUCAUUUUAGCAGUGGAUGAAAUGUUUAUAUGGAGAGGAUAAAUACAUUUUGUUUAUGGAUAUGUAUGUAUUGUUCAGAGAUCAUCCUCCAACACAGAAUAUAUUAGUCAAAGCACACUGAAUAGCAGUCUAUAUUAUUUGAACAAAAGACAUGAAUCAUUUCUUUAUAUGUCGUGAUUUCAAGUGUGGAAUGGAAAGCAAAGGUUUCUACCAAAUGUUUCUUCCUGUCAUCAUUUAGGGGGACUCCUGUACCAAACCUAAAUGCAGCUGAAACCAUUAGUCAGUGAAUAAUCAAAUUAAUUUGUGCCAUAUAUCUGAUUUUGUGUGAUAUCAGAAACUGAAGAUAUUAUCAUUUAUCAAUCCAGUCAACCAAAAAUGACUUUUGUCGACAAAAACAGUACAGCGGUACAUAGUGAUAAAGAUUGUGUCAAAGAGUUGCGUGGUCUGGGUACUUCCUGGUUGAUUUCCAUGGAGGUGAAAAGAAAAUGGGGCUUAAAAGUGUGUUCUUUGAAAAUGGAAAUACAAAAGGAAUCAGUUUGGGGGUCUGCUUGUAUGUAUGUUAUGUGCAACAUCGUGUGGCUCUUCGAGGGCUACGUUUUUUUUGUCUUUUUGUCUUGUUUUCCCCCCUUUUUCCUGUAACUUGGCUGGUCCUGUUGUUUCUAUAAGCUCAGGUGGAAACUCCUUUUAUCUUGUUGGUCUUUGUGCUCUCCCUCCAGUUAGCUGCCCACUGCAGCUGUCUGCUGUUUUUCUACACGGAAAAAAAGUAUAUAUAUAGAUAUGUUUUAAAGCUGCAGGAUGUUAGUAUUGGUUCAUCCUUUACGUGAAAUAAAAAAAAAAAAAUGCCAUUUUGUUCUUUUGGGAUUGAUCUCAUUUUUUUUUGUUUGUUUGUUUGUUUUUUCAUGUAAUCACCUAGCCUGUUCUCAGCACUGUACAAUGGUCCCUAUCUGAUACAGAAAAGCAAUAUCACUGUACGAUACUCACUAUGUAUUUCUGUUGUUGUUAUUACUAUUCACUAGCACCCUAGGUGUGAUAAUUGAAGUAAAUAUCUUUUAUACAAACACAAGGAUUGUGUGGUGUGUGUGCUUAUUUAAAUACUUUCAUUUAAAGCAGUGUUUGUCAGGCUUAGGCCAUGCUGAUGGAAACCUCCUUAGUUUCUGCAUAGGAAAAAGUCUAGUCAUACAAUGUAAAACGGAGAGGCCAGUAAAUUAUGGAAUACCACUGGCAUCAGCACUUGGCACUUUUG